GUAUCUAUUUAAUUCUGGUUGUGGGAGACGAGGGGUGUUAUUUUACAUAGGGUUGUUGUAUCGCAGAUGUUGAGAUGUUGUUAGUCUUAUGUGUUCCUAGUAAGUGAGGCUCGGUGUUUAAGGUAACUUGGAUUGGGUUAUCCCUGAGAGCGGUGAAUUCACAGUGCCAGCAUCCGCGGUUAUUCUGUGGCUUAGGUCUCUUCUUUGGUUUAAAUUCUUCCUGGGUUAUAGUAAGAAGGUUUGGGUCAAAUUGUUUCUUAGUUAAGAAGAUCCUGGGGUGGAGUAUGAGCUUGCGAUAAAGAAAAGGAUUAGAUACCCUUGUAUUCGUGUAGAAGAAUUUUGUGUCCAUGAUAGUUAAUUUAAAAGAAUUUGGCAGCUGGUAGUUUCUUCCGGGGGAGUGUGCUCAUUAAAAAGAUGGUCCGCUUAUUAUUUUACCACUUUUUUAGGGUUAGUGUACAUCCGGUUUGAUAUCUUUAACUAGAGUUUGGGGUUGAGUAUAUAAUUAAAGCCAGGUCUAUGUGCUGCUUUGAAGUGGGUUGUGUGCGCUACAUUUAUGAGAUUGGGGUUUGAUAGUUCCUUGAUUGCUAGGACUCGGUAGUAGGUGGUGUUUAGUUUGCACUAUCGAAAUAGGUGAAGCUGGGGUACACACCGCCCGUCACCCAUGGUGGGAGCUGUGGUAAGUCGUAACAUGGUAGCGCUAGAUGAAUCUGGUGCUAGUCGGUUGUAACUGGUGGUCUGCAGUUUGGCCU
rnacentral:rRNA from 1 species